AAGCUCCAUGGCCUGGGUGGGGCCUGUCCAAAAGGCUGGUGCCGGCGGGCGAAUGGGGGCGGUUCUAAGGAAAGGCCGUGCAAACCGAGCUAGCCUCUUACUGCAUAGUACAUGGCGAAAGGAGGUCAUUCCAUGAGCUGGUGCCCUGCUAGGUUGGAGAGACCCUACCCUCAAACAAGUGUUCUUAUACCAACUGAAUUGUCGCGAUCCUAGUCUCAGGGGUUUUUUGAGACUCUGAAGGAGCCAGUCUAGUUCUUAUGGCGGAGCCGGUCCGCCUGGGCCGGAAGCGUCCGCUGCCCGUUUGCCCCAACCCGCUCUUCGUUCGUUGGCUGACCGAGUGGCGGGACGAGGCAGCCAGCAGGGGGCGCCACACGCGUUUCGUGUUUCAAAAGGCAUUGCGCUCCCUCCAACGGUACCCGCUACCAUUGCGCAGCGGGAAGGAAGCCAAGAUACUCCAGCACUUCGGAGACAGGCUCUGCCGCAUGCUGGACGAAAAGCUGAAGCAGCACCUAGCAUCAGGCGGUGACCAUGCCCCCAGCUCACCAUCUGGAAAGAAGGGAGCCAGCAAAGGGCCACCUGAGCAAGUCCAGGACUCUUCCAUGCCAGUUCCCACCCAGCCUCAAGCAGGAAGCACCAGUGUUGGCUAUUGGCCAGCUCAGAACUCAGGUGCUCGAGAGAUCCUGCUGCAACUCUACAGGGAGCACCUGAAUUCUGAUGGCCACAGCUUCCUAACCAAAGAGGAGCUGCUGCAGAAGUGUGCCCAGAAGACCCCCAGGGUAGUGCCUGGAAGUUCGAAACCCUGGCCUGCCCUCCGGAGCCUCCUCCAUAGGAACCUCAUCCUUGGAACGCAUCGGCCAGCCAGGUAUGCACUCACACCAGAGGGUCUGGAGCUGGCUCAGAAGCUGGCCGAGGCGGAAGGCCUGAGCACUCGGCACGCUGGCUUUAGGCCAGAGGAACAUCACGGAGAGGACUCAGCAGUUCCAGAAGCCUUGUCAGAACCUGGCACCACCGAGGGGGCCGUCCAGCAGAGACCACUGGAGCUAAGGCCUAGCGAGUACAGAGUGCUGUUGUGUGUGGACAUUGGCGAAACCAGAGGGGCAGGACACAGGCCAGAAAUGCUCCGAGAGUUACAAAGGCUGCGUGUGCCCCACACCGUACGCAAGCUACACGUUGGAGACUUUGUGUGGGUGGCACAGGAGACCAGGCCCAGAGACCCAGAAAGACCUGGGGAGCUGGUCCUGGACCACAUUGUGGAACGCAAGCGGCUAGAUGACCUAUGCAGCAGCAUCAUUGACGGCCGCUUUCGGGAGCAGAAGUUCCGCCUGAAGCGCUGUGGCCUGGGGCACCGGGUAUACUUAGUGGAAGAACAUGGGUCUGUCCACAACCUUAGCCUUCCCGAGAGCACCUUGCUGCAGGCUGUCACAAACACCCAGGUCAUUGAUGGCUUUUUUGUGAAGCGAACCAUGGAUAUUAAGGAGUCGGCUGGCUACCUGGCGCUUUUGACAAAGGGCCUGGAAAGACUGUACCAGGGCCACACCCUACGCAGCCGCCCUUGGGGGGCCCCAGGGGCUGCUGAAUCAGAAGCAAAGCCUUCCACAAACCCUCUCUGCUCACUCCUCACCUUCAGUGACUUCAAUGCAGAAGCUGUCAAGAACAAGGCCCAGUCUGUGCGAGAAGUAUUUGCCCGGCAGCUGAUGCAGGUGCGUGGACUGAGUGGGGAGAAGGCAGCAGCCGUGGUGGAUCGAUACAGCACCCCUGCCAGAUAAUCAGCCUUUAUAUGCCCUACCCCCAGUCUCCUGGCUGCUUAUGAUGCCUGUGCCACCGCGAAGGAGCAGGAGAUGCUCUUGAGCACCAUCAAGUGUGGGCGUCUGCAGAGGAAUCUGGGACCCGCUCUGAGCAGGACCCUGUACCAGUUGUACUGCAGCCACAGCCCUCUGAGCUGAGCUGUACCAGGAGACGCUCGCUCCCCAGCACCCAUCUUCAUCUCUACCAAGGCUGGCUAGCCUUUUAGCUGAGAUCCCCUGGGCUUUAAUAAAAAUCUGGAUGUGUGUGGUCUCGGCUGUUAAGGAAGCAAUGCCAAGGUCCUUCUGAAAUCUACAGGGGUUGGAAGACUACACUGCUGAGCCAACUGUUGUGUGUGGUGGUGCUAGCAGCGGAACCCAGAGCCUCACACCUACUAGGCAAUUCCUCUUCCAAAAAGCAAUGAUCCGCAGCCCUGUACAGUGUCCUUACCCAUUCCUAAAACCAGCUUGGCCUAAAACUUGCUCUGUAACCUAGUCUAGCCUAGAACUCCCAGUUUUUCUGGGUCUACCUUCCAAGACCUGAAAUUAAAGGUGUGGGGCACC